rnacentral:rRNA from 2 species
AGAGUUUGAUCCUGGCUCAGGAUGAACGCUGGCGGCGUGCCUAAUACAUGCAAGUCGAGCGAACGGACGAGAAGCUUGCUUCUCUGAUGUUAGCGGCGGACGGGUGAGUAACACGUGGAUAACCUACCUAUAAGACUGGGAUAACUUCGGGAAACCGGAGCUAAUACCGGAUAAUAUUUUGAACCGCAUGGUUCAAAAGUAAAAGACGGUCUUGCUGUCACUUAUAGAUGGAUCCGCGCUGCAUUAGCUAGUUGGUAAGGUAACGGCUUACCAAGGCAACGAUGCAUAGCCGACCUGAGAGGGUGAUCGGCCACACUGGAACUGAGACACGGUCCAGACUCCUACGGGAGGCAGCAGUAGGGAAUCUUCCGCAAUGGGCGAAAGCCUGACGGAGCAACGCCGCGUGAGUGAUGAAGGUCUUCGGAUCGUAAAACUCUGUUAUUAGGGAAGAACAUAUGUGUAAGUAACUGUGCACAUCUUGACGGUACCUAAUCAGAAAGCCACGGCUAACUACGUGCCAGCAGCCGCGGUAAUACGUAGGUGGCAAGCGUUAUCCGGAAUUAUUGGGCGUAAAGCGCGCGUAGGCGGUUUUUUAAGUCUGAUGUGAAAGCCCACGGCUCAACCGUGGAGGGUCAUUGGAAACUGGAAAACUUGAGUGCAGAAGAGGAAAGUGGAAUUCCAUGUGUAGCGGUGAAAUGCGCAGAGAUAUGGAGGAACACCAGUGGCGAAGGCGACUUUCUGGUCUGUAACUGACGCUGAUGUGCGAAAGCGUGGGGAUCAAACAGGAUUAGAUACCCUGGUAGUCCACGCCGUAAACGAUGAGUGCUAAGUGUUAGGGGGUUUCCGCCCCUUAGUGCUGCAGCUAACGCAUUAAGCACUCCGCCUGGGGAGUACGACCGCAAGGUUGAAACUCAAAGGAAUUGACGGGGACCCGCACAAGCGGUGGAGCAUGUGGUUUAAUUCGAAGCAACGCGAAGAACCUUACCAAAUCUUG